CGUCUUCCUAUCUGAAUUAAUGCUGUUCUUAUCAUCUCCCUUAUCUCUAGGAGAUUGGGAGAUUUCUGGGCUUUUUUCGUUUGUUUUUUGGUUUUUUUUUUCCCUCAUGUAUUUUCUCCUCUUGUAGUUCCUGCUGGCAAAGGAAACGAAAUCUACGUUUUAUGAUCCAUAGGCUUUAAUCUCCACAGACUUCUCAGUCUUCUGGCGCUGCCCCUGUGCAUUUCAGCAUGCUGGUGAGCAUCAUGGUGUGCGUUCCCACCUCCCCAUCCUCCGUUAUGUGUCCCUUUUUAUCCAAGACAAAGCUGAAGACCUUUGAGAGGAAGCCAUCCACGUCGUCGGUAGAACAGGAAGAAAACUGUUGGGGUGUUGAAAGGAAAAGUGUACCUUUGUUUCAAAUAACGUUCUAAAUUCUCUUUCUGUGAGCUGUGAUCUUUCUUUCUUGUUUGUAGUCUUUCCCUCACUACAUGCUCCUGAAAAGCCAUAUGGGGUACAAUUCGGGCGCAUAGGACAAUGCAAGGGUGGCCCGGGAAUGGCUGGGGCCUGAGGGUGCAGUUCCCAGCAGGCAACAGGAAUUUGCCAUGGCAAUCUGUAUUCCUAGCCUCUCCCAUGUCACCCAGCAACCAGUUUAAUAUUAACCCCUGCUCCCGAGGCCGGCAGGAGGAAGUACUAGCAGGAAGCUUUGGGUUGCUGCAGGCGGUCCGUACUGAGAAGUCAGCAACUCAUGGCAAACAGAGGAGCACGUUAUGCACAGCCCCAUGGUUUCAUGCAAAAGCUGUCCCCAGCGGUUCUCUGGGGCCUUCUCCUCCCCAUCAUCUGCACACCAUGGUCCUCACUGCUGCCCCGGAGUGCCAUCAAAGAACUGCUUCAGCAGCUGUAUUUGGUCUCUAAAACCUCCAGGUUCCAAGUGGAAAGCCGAGCUAGACAUCCAGCAAGCUGAGGGGCUCAUUUUCCAUGUGGUUUGAAGACUUACUGAUAUACCAUGGCUUACUGAUACCACAGACUGAGCUGGGUGUCCAUGGCUUAAGA
ensembl:lncRNA